CAAGCGUUAUCCGGAAUCACUGGGCGUAAAGCGUGCGUAGGUGGCGCGUUAAGUGAGAUGUUAAAUCGUGUGGCUCAACCAUAUCGAUGCAUCUCAUACUGGCGUGCUAGAGGACAGCAGAGGCAAGUGGAAUUGGUAGUGUAGCAGUGAAAUGCGUAGAUAUUACCAGGAACACCAAUGGCGAAGGCAGCUUGCUGGGCUACUCCUGACACUGAGGUACGAAAGCGUGGGGAGCGAACAGG
rnacentral:rRNA from 1 species